AUUGAACGCUGGCGGCAUGCCUUACACAUGCAAGUCGAACGGUAACAGGUCUUCGGAUGCUGACGAGUGGCGAACGGGUGAGUAAUACAUCGGAACGUGCCUAGUAGUGGGGGAUAACUACUCGAAAGAGUGGCUAAUACCGCAUGAGAUCUACGGAUGAAAGCAGGGGAUCGCAAGACCUUGUGCUACUAGAGCGGCCGAUGGCAGAUUAGGUAGUUGGUGGGGUAAAAGCUUACCAAGCCGACGAUCUGUAGCUGGUCUGAGAGGACGAUCAGCCACACUGGGACUGAGACACGGCCCAGACUCCUACGGGAGGCAGCAGUGGGGAAUUUUGGACAAUGGGCGCAAGCCUGAUCCAGCAAUGCCGCGUGCAGGAUGAAGGCCUUCGGGCUGUAAACUGCUUUUGUACGGAACGAAAAGCCCUGGGUUAAUACCCUGGGGUCAUGACGGUACCGUAAGAAUAAGCACCGGCUAACUACGUGCCAGCCGCCGCAGUAAGAC
rnacentral:rRNA from 1 species